ACAAACACAAACUGACGAAUAGAUACAGAUUAAGUGAGUGAAAUAAG
rnacentral:guide_RNA from 1 species